GGAGCGCGCGGAGAGCGAGGGAGGAGGGAGCGAGAGAGCAAGCGGCGGAGGGAGGGGAGACCAACUUCUAGUGCUACCAUAAUUCGCCUAAAGCAGGUGCAGCAACUUUCACCCCGCCUGGCAGCCCGCUGAGAGCGAGAGAAGACCACGUGCACCAAACUUUAGGGGAGGAAAAAUGGGAACGUGGGAAGACGUGGGGCGGCAGAUCUGAAAAAGAUGGUAGGUGGAGGGACCCCAGGGAUUCACCCUGGCCUCGGACUAAUCCUAUGGCGCGCUUGCAAACCCGGCCAUCCCCUGGAGUCUGGAGGUCAUUCCGGACUCCUGAUGCCGCCAGUCCCGCGGUGAGACGUGAGCGCCAUUGGCGUCCGUAGCCUCUGUUUCCGUGGCAACCUAGUAACCAUUAAUUUUCAAUUAAAGGAGACAAAAAGCUCGAUGACAGCUCCAGGUCUGCUGAAGAUGUCAAGAAUCUGUAUUAAUAUACAGCAAGAGAGCAUAAUUGUGUGUCCAUCUUCCAGAGCAGCGAAAAAUGGAGGGAUAAUUACCAGCUCGAAAGCCACUCUGUAAUUUAGUUCUUACUGUCACCACAGCCCUACACAUUAGCAUAAAUUAAAAGCAGAGUUUAUUGUUAUCAAAGUGCA